rnacentral:lncRNA from 1 species
AGAACUUGAUUAAGGAUAUAGAACCUACUCAUGGACAUGUGAUGAUAGCAAAUGGAGAUAAGAUACCUAUUAAGGGAAUAGGAAAGCUUAAGUUGUUUAACAAAGAAUCUAGAGCCUUUUACAUGCCUGAAUUCACAUCAAACCUAUUAUCUGUGAAGAAAUGUACUAAUGAUCUACAAUGCAAUGUUAUCUUUAGUCCUAAUGAUGUGAAGUUUCAGGAUAUUGAGAGCAGCAAAUUGAUUGGGAAAGGGGUGACUAAGGGAGAUCUCUAUAUGCUUGAAGAACUCACUUCUGUUCCUGAUUAUAGUUGCUCGUUUACUUCUGCUUCUUUGUUGAAUAAAAAUGCAUUGUGGCAUGCUAGAGUAGGACACCCUCAUGUUAAAGCAUUGAACUUAAUGGUACCAGGUGUUGUAUUUGAGAACAAAGAUUGUGAAGCUUGCAUUUUAGGCAAGCAUUGUAGAACUGUGUUUCAAAAGUCUACUACCGUUUAUGAUAAUUGCUUUGAUCUAAUUCAUUCAGAUGUGUGGACUGCCCCUUGCUUAUCUAGAGAUAGUUAUAAGUAUUUUGUCACAUUCAUUGAUGAAAAAUCCAAAUACACCUGGUUAACCUUAAUUCAGACCAAAGAUAGGGUGCUUGAGGCAUUUAGGAACUUUCAAACUUAUGUGACUAACCAUUAUCAUGCUAAGAUUAAAAUUUUGAGAUCAGAUAAUGGAGGGGAGUACACAAUCCAUGCAUUCAAGAAACACUUAUCACAACAUGGGAUCCUACAUCAGACAAGCUGUCCGUAUACUCCACAGCAAAAUGGAGUGGCUGAGAGGAAGAAUAGGCACCUCAUGGAAGUGGCAAGGUCACUUAUGUUUCAGAGUAAUGUUCCAAAAAGAUUUUGGAGUGAUGCGGUUGCCACUGCUUGUUACUUGAUAAACAGAACUCCAACCAAGAUUCUGAAUGAGAAGGCUCCAUUUGAAGUUCUGAACAAGUACAAGCCAGUUCUUGAUUACUUGAAGGUCUUUGGAUGUCUAUGCAUUGUGCUCAAACCAGGAGAGAUGCGCAACAAGCUAGAAGCAAGAAGUACUAAGGCUAUGUUCAUAGGAUACUCAGCUACACAGAAAGGAUACAAAUGCUAUGAUCCUAUAGCAAGGAGAGUACUUGUUUCUAGAGAUGUGAAGUUCUUGGAAGAUAGAGGAUACUAUGAAGAAAAGAAUCAAGAAGACCUGAAGGACUUAACAUCAGACAAGGCCACCACCUUGCGGAUCAUUCUUGAAGGUCUUGGAAUCAGUACAUCCCAGGAUCCGAGAGAUCACGCAACUACACCUCCUGAAGUUGGUUCACCAUCCCACCUUGAUCAUGAGGGAGGAGAGGAGCAUGAGGAGCCUAUGCAAGAGGCUAACCAAGAAGAAGGAGAAGUAGAGAAUGAAGGAGAAGAGAGCAUAGGCUCUGAUGGUCAUGGGCAUGAUCAUGGUGUGAUACAAACACCUUCUCAAGAUGAAGUGGUAGAAGAACAACAGGAAGAAGAAUCGGUUGUGCAGCCACUAAGAAGGAGUACAAGGAUAAGGAAGGAUCCUUCUAGCUGGGUAAACACGAGAGUGUACUACAAUGCCCAAGCUGUGGAACAUCCUUCUCAAGCCGUGUGCUCCUUUGCUCAAUAUCCAGAAGCACAUUGCGCUUUCAUGGUAAACUUGGAUGAGAAUCACAUCCCAAGAGACUAUGAAGAGGCAAUGAAGGAUAAGGAAUGGAAGGAAUCAGUAGGAGCUGAGGCAGGAGCUAUGAUAAAGAAUGAUACAUGGUAUGAGAGUGAACUACCAAAAGGGAAGAAGGCAGUGUCUAGUAGAUGGAUCUUCACAAUCAAAUACAAGGCUGAUGGGCAGAUUGAGAGGAAGAAGACUAGAUUAGUGGCAAGAGGGUUCACUCAGACAUAUGGGGAGGAUUAUAUUGAGACAUUUGCCCCUGUAGCUAAGCUACACACCAUUAGGAUUGUUCUAAGCUUGGCUGUUAAUCUUGGAUGGGGAUUAUGGCAAAUGGAUGUAAAGAAUGCAUUCUUACAAGGAGAGCUUGAGGAUGAAGUCUACAUGUAUCCUCCACCAGGUCUAGAACAUCUAGUGAAGAAAGGGAAUGUACUGAGGUUAAAGAAGGCUAUCUAUGGCUUGAAGCAAUCACCAAGAGCGUGGUACAACAAGUUGAGCACAACCUUGAAUGGACGUGGCUUCAGGAAGUCAGAGUUGGAUCACACACUCUUCACCCUCACUACACCCACAGGUAUGGUUGCUCUCCUUGUGUAUGUGGAUGAUAUCAUUAUCACAGGUAGUGAUAAGGAAGGUAUCAAAGCAACCAAGGAGUUUCUUAAAUCCAUGUUUGAAAUCAAAGAUUUGGGAGAAAUGAAAUACUUUCUUGGAAUUGAGAUUUGUAGAUCCAAGGAAGGGUUAUUCAUGUCCCAAAGAAAGUAUACACUUGAUCUUUUGAAAGGUGCAGGUGCUUAUGGAGGCAAGACAGCAAGGAUGCCAAUGGAGGAUGGAUACAAAGUACCAAGAGAGGGGGAGAUUGAAGACAGCAAGCCAUUUCAUGAUCCUAAACUCUAUAGAAAACUUGUUGGCAAAUUGAUUUAUCUUACCAUCACAAGACCUGAUAUAUGCUUUGCUGUGAAUCAGGUGAGUCAACACAUGCAGCUUCCCAAGGAACAUCAUUGGCAUAUGGUGGAGAGGCUGCUAAUGUAUCUGAAUGGCUCGCCGGAUCAAGGAGUAUGGAUGGGGUGCAAUGGAAGCACAGAAGUGGUGGGCUAUUGUGAUGCAGAUUGGGCAGGUGAUAGAGCUGACAGGAGAUCAACAACCGGCUAUUGCACAUUCAUUGGAGGCAACCUGGUGACUUGGAAGAGUAAGAAACAGAAGGUGGUGUCAUGCUCAAGUGCAGAAGCUGAGUAUAGAGCUAUGCUGAAGCUUACAAACGAGCUAGUUUGGAUCAAGGGCAUCUUGAAGCAUUUGGAGAUAAAACAAGACACUCCAAUGACAAUGCAUUGUGACAACCAGGCCGCCAUUCACAUAGCCUCCAACUCGGUGUUCCAUGAGAGGACAAAAGCACAUUGAGGUUGAUUGCCACAAGGUGAGGCAGAUGAUUGUUCUAGGAGUCAUCUUGCCAUGUUAUACUAGGAGUGAAGAUCAGUUGGCUGAUGUAUUCACCAAGGCUGCAAGGCAAAAGACAAUGGAGUCCAUUCAUAUUAGAUUGGGCCUCAUUGAUCUUGGGAAGAGAAGCAGCUGAUCCUCUUAGUCAUGAGAUCUUUACUCUUUUUCCCUCAUUAAGGUUUUGUCCCAAUGGGUUUUCCUUAGUGAGGUUUUUAAUGAGGAAGAUCUCAUGGCUGUCCAAGCUUAGACUUUCACAAAGCUAAGCUUGAGGGGGAGUGUUGAGAUGAGUUGAAGAUAUGAACAUGAAGAGAUAAGAAGUGGAAGAGAAGAGGAGGAAGAGAAUGAGGGGACUUUGGGCAAGCAUGGUACGGACGUCCGUACAAGGCCGUACAUGGCCGUACCGUCCGUACCAAAUGUCUCGACCAAAGGUUACCUAACCUUGACCAAGUGAAACGGUAACAAGCAGAUGUUACCUUGAGGGCUUAGUGGAGAGGAUCAGACCGUUGAGUGGAUAAGGGAAGAGCAAGACAGGCUGUGACAGGCUGUAAAGAGCCAAAGCAUGUAAGGCUUCCCAUCCGUCCAUUCAAAAGCGACCCUUGACUCCACAUGCUUCAAUAGUGCUCCUUUCUUCUCUUGUAAACCCUUAUGUCUCUCUUAUAAAUAUGUAACCUCACUCAGCAAUAAGAUUAAGCAGUUCUGAGUCUCUCUAAUCUCUUAAGUCACAAUGAUUCUCUCUUAGACACUAAUCGGCUCUCAAGUCUCUUAAUCGUUCACAAUCUCUUCUAAUCUCUACUUAAACUCUCACUUAUAUUCUAAUCACUCUAAGGAUCUCUAAAUAUUAUAUGGUAUCAGAGCCAGGUUCAUUAGGAUCUGGGGUUGAUCUUUAGAGAGUUACAAACUGAAGGCUUUAAAGCUACACGCGAGUAGCUUUGAAGGUGUUGAAGCUGUGAUACGUUCUAGUUGAAGCUGUGCUACGUUCGGUGUGUGUACGUGAUUCAAGACUCAAGAUUUCAUCAGAUUCAAGCUGUUCAAGUCAAGCUGAGUAAAGAUGGAACAUGGGAUGAACAUGAGGAUGAAGGUAGCGGUUACUUUCAAAGGUAGCAACUACCUUGUGUGGUCUCGGAUGGUGAAGACUGCGGUGGGAAGUAAGGGUUUGUGGGGGCACAUCACAACAGGGGAGGCUCCGAAACUCAUUACUCAGGGAGGAGAUCAACAAGAAGAGGUCUCCAUUGAAGCGGCUGUAGAGAAAUGGCAACAAGAAGACAUGCUGGUGAUGACGGUUCUACACGCAUCCUUGGAUCCAGCUAUCUUGGAUGCCUACAGCUACUGUGAAUCAGCCAAAGAGCUGUGGGACACGCUGAAGAAGGUGUAUGGUAACACUUCCAACCUCAGCCGUGUGUUUGAAGUAAAGCAAGCUAUCAACCGUCUAGUGCAAGAGGAUAUGGAGUUCACUAAGCACUUGGGGAGGUUCAGGUCCUUAUGGUCAGAGCUAGAGAUGCUGAGGCCGAGCACAACUGAUCCUGAUCAGUUGAAUGAGAGGCGCGAGCAAGAUAAGGUCUUUGGGCUGCUCCUCACGCUGAACCCGGCCUACACUCAACUCAUCCAGCACAUGUUGAGGGCAGACAAGCUUCCGGACCUUGAGGAUGUGUGUGCGCAAAUCCAAAGGGAGCAGGGGUCUAUGGGGUUGUUUGGAGGAAAGGGGGAGCUCUCUCUUGCCAAUCAAGCAGCUCAUGAGGAUUCAACCGAAGCUCCACAAGCAAACAAGGCAUCUCACGGGAAGUAUGAGGACAGGAAGUUCAAUGGCAACUGUGAUCAUUGCAAGAAGCAUGGUCAUAAGAAGAGCCAAUGCUGGAUACUACACCCACAUCUCAAGCCUGCCAAGUUCAUGAAGGAGCGUGAGGGAAGGGCAAAUGUGACUGAAGGGUCAAGCGGAGCUGGCACCAUCAAGACGAGUGAAGUGGAUGGACAUGGAGGCAAUGAUGGGAAUGGGAAGUCUCUGGUGGCUUACACAGGCGCCUCAAGCUCACGCAGCAAUGAUGACUACAUCAAGAGAUCAGACCUUGAUGCUCUCUUCAAAAUGCUAAAGGAAAACGGUAACACUUAUGGUUAUUCCUUUGGAGCAUCUAUGAUUACAUAUAAGGAUGAUCACUUGAUUAGAGAACUAGUAGAACGGUUAGAAGCUAGGAAUGAGUAUAGAAAUGCACACAUUGCUAGAACUGAUAGGACACAUCCAUCACUUAGUAAUCUAUGUCAUAAUGCUAAAAGAGUAUAUAAACCAUUGAUUGUUGAUUCUGGUGCAUCACAUCAUAUGAUAAGUGAUGAGAACUUGAUUAAGGAUAUAGAACCUACUCAUGGACAUGUGAUGAUAGCAAAUGGAGAUAAGAUACCUAUUAAGGGAAUAGGAAAGCUUAAGUUGUUUAACAAAGAAUCUAGAGCCUUUUACAUGCCUGAAUUCACAUCAAACCUAUUAUCUGUGAAGAAAUGUACUAAUGAUCUACAAUGCAAUGUUAUCUUUAGUCCUAAUGAUGUGAAGUUUCAGGAU